AAUAGCAGUUAGACUUACAGUAUAUACUGCUUCACAGUGCUGUACAAAUCUCUCUAAGCGGUUCAUAGAGUCAGUCUGUUGCCCCAACAAUCUGGGUCCCCAUUUUACCCACCUCAGAAGGAUGGGAGACUGAGUCAACUUUGAGCCUGGUAGGAUUC